UGUCAUAAUUUUGUCAAUGUCACUUACAAAAAAGAUAAACACUGUAUCGGCUUAAAAAUUGUAAUUACUUAAUAAAAUUAUAAAUACCAGUGUUUUUAAACAAGUGCUACAUAAAACACAUUCUCAUUUGUUAAACGUGUGUGUGUCAAACAUUUUCGGCGCCAAAAUGACAAAACAGCUCUCGAAAUCGGACACAGAAGAUUUGUGGUGGAAAUGGAGCAACUUACUUAGCAGAAACCACGGUCAUUGCAGACUGCAACAAUAAGCUAGGCAAACUUCAAAGCCUUAGUAUUAUGAUGCUAGUAAUAGCUCCACUCCUGUAUAUAUGCUUAUAUGGAUAUUUGUUUAUGGAGAUUCUAUAAAAAUAUAGUAAAAUAUAUACAAUGAAACUGUA